GAUGAACGCUGGCGGCGUGCCUAAUACAUGCAAGUAGAACGCUGAAGCUUGGUGCUUGCACCGAGCGGAUGAGUUGCGAACGGGUGAGUAACGCGUAGGUAACCUGCCUCUUAGCGGGGGAUAACUAUUGGAAACGAUAGCUAAUACCGCAUAAAAUUGAUUGUUGCAUGAUAGUCAAUUAAAAGGUGCAAUUGCAUCACUACCAGAUGGACCUGCGUUGUAUUAGCUAGUUGGUGGGGUAACGGCUCACCAAGGCAACGAUACAUAGCCGACCUGAGAGGGUGAUCGGCCACACUGGGACUGAGACACGGCCCAGACUCCUACGGGAGGCAGCAGUAGGGAAUCUUCGGCAAUGGACGGAAGUCUGACCGAGCAACGCCGCGUGAGUGAAGAAGGUUUUCGGAUCGUAAAGCUCUGUUGUAAGAGAAGAAACGAGUGUGAGAGUGGAAAG
rnacentral:rRNA from 1 species